rnacentral:tRNA from 1 species
GGGGUCUUAGCUCAGCUGGGAGAGCAUCUGCCUUACAAGCAGAGGGUCCCAGGUUCGAGCCCUGUAGGCCCCA